GAUGAACGCUGGCGGCGUGCCUAAUACAUGCAAGUCGAGCGAACAGACGAGGAGCUUGCUCCUCUGACGUUAGCGGCGGACGGGUGAGUAACACGUGGAUAACCUACCUAUAAGACUGGGAUAACUUCGGGAAACCGGAGCUAAUACCGGAUAAUAUAUUGAACCGCAUGGUUCAAUAGUGAAAGACGGUUUUGCUGUCACUUAUAGAUGGAUCCGCGCCGCAUUAGCUAGUUGGUAAGGUAACGGCUUACCAAGGCAACGAUGCGUAGCCGACCUGAGAGGGUGAUCGGCCACACUGGAACUGAGACACGGUCCAGACUCCUACGGGAGGCAGCAGUAGGGAAUCUUCCGCAAUGGGCGAAAGCUUGACGGAGCAACGCCGCGUGAGUGGUGAAGGUCUUCGGAUCGUAAAACUCUGUUAUUAGGGAAGAACAAAUGUGUAAGUAACUAUGCACGUCUUGACGGUACCUAAUCAGAAAGCCACGGCUAACUACGU
rnacentral:rRNA from 1 species